rnacentral:rRNA from 1 species
UGAUUUCGCCUUGCGGAGCUACACAUGCAAGCCGAGCGGUAGAGUCUCUUCGGGGACUUGAGAGCGGCGCACGGGUGCGGAACACGUGUGCAACCUGCCUUUAUCUGGGGGAUAGCCUUUCGAAAGGAAGAUUAAUACCCCAUAAUAUAUUGAAUGGCAUCAUCUGGUAUUGAAAACUCCGGUGGAUAGAGAUGGGCACGCGCAAGAUUAGAUAGUUGGUGAGGUAACGGCUCACCAAGUCAGCGAUCUUUAGGGGGCCUGAGAGGGUGAUCCCCCACACUGGUACUGAGACACGGACCAGACUCCUACGGGAGGCAGCAGUGAGGAAUAUUGGACAAUGGGUGAGAGCCUGAUCCAGCCAUCCCGCGUGAAGGACGACGGCCCUAUGGGUUGUAAACUUCUUUUGUAUAGGGAUAAACCUAGAUACGUGUAUCUAGCUGAAGGUACUAUACGAAUAAGCACCGGCUAACUCCGUGCCAGCAGCCGCGGUAAUACGGAGGGUGCAAGCGUUAUCCGGAUUUAUUGGGUUUAAAGGGUCCGUAGGCUGAUGUGUAAGUCAGUGGUGAAAUCUCACAGCUUAACUGUGAAACUGCCAUUGAUACUGCAUGUCUUGAGUGUUGUUGAAGUAACUGGAAUAAGUAGUGUAGCGGUGAAAUGCAUAGAUAUUACUUAGAACACCAAUUGCGAAGGCAGGUUACUAAGCAACAACUGACGCUGAUGGACGAAAGCGUGGGGAGCGAACAGGAUUAGAUACCCUGGUAGUCCACGCCGUAAACGAUGCUAACUCGUUUUUGGGUUUUCGGAUUCAGAGACUAAGCGAAAGUGAUAAGUUAGCCACCUGGGGAGUACGAACGCAAGUUUGAAACUCAAAGGAAUUGACGGGGGCCCGCACAAGCGGUGGAUUAUGUGGUUUAAUUCGAUGAUACGCGAGGAACCUUACCAAGGCUUAAAUGGGAAAUGACAGGUUUAGAAAUAGACUUUUCUUCGGACAUUUUUCAAGGUGCUGCAUGGUUGUCGUCAGCUCGUGCCGUGAGGUGUUAGGUUAAGUCCUGCAACGAGCGCAACCCCUGUCACUAGUUGCCAUCAUUAAGUUGGGGACUCUAGUGAGACUGCCUACGCAAGUAGAGAGGAAGGUGGGGAUGACGUCAAAUCAUCACGGCCCUUACGCCUUGGGCCACACACGUAAUACAAUGGCCGGUACAGAGGGCAGCUACACAGUGAUGUGAUGCAAAUCUCGAAAGCCGGUCUCAGUUCGGAUUGGAGUCUGCAACUCGACUCUAUGAAGCUGGAAUCGCUAGUAAUCGCGCAUCAGCCAUGGCGCGGUGAAUACGUUCCCGGGCCUUGUACACACCGCCCGUCAAGCCAUGGAAGUCUGGGGUACCUGAAGUCGGUGACCGUAAGCAGCAGCUAACGAGGUAAAGCUGGGGAAGGAUACAAAAUUCCCC